rnacentral:rRNA from 1 species
UACCAGCUCUCCGAGUGGUGUGGAUGUUUAUUGGGCCUAAAGCAUCCGUAGCUGGCUGGGCAAGUCCCCUGUUAAAUCCACCGAUUUAAUCGUUGGUGUGCGGGGGAUACUGUUCGACUAGGGGACGGGAGAGGCCGACGGUAUUUUCGGGGUAGGGGUGAAAUCCUAUAAUCCCGGGAAGACCACCAGUGGCGAAGGCUGUCGGCUAGAACGCGCCCGACGGUGAGGGAUGAAAGCUGGGGGAGCGAACCGGAUUAGAUACCCGGGUAGUCCCAGCUGUAAACGAUGCAGGCUAGGUGUUUGGGCGGCCACGUGCCGCUCUAGUGCCGCAGAGAAGUCGUUAAGCCUGCCGCCUGGGGAGUACGGCCGCAAGGCUGAAACUUAAAGGAAUUGGCGGGGAGCACCACAAGGGGUGAAGCUUGCGGUUU